GUGCUUUUUAUCUCUGAGAUCAAUCCCACAUCCAAGCUUUUAGAAAUGAAGAAAUUUACCUCUGAGUUACAACGUGUGAGAAGACCCAUGAACCUACAUAGAGCCCAGCCUGCUAUAUAUGAAAUUCUGAGAACUGCCUUCUACAUAGAUCUUACCCUUUUCUACUACUGCAUUUACAGGUAACACUUUCAUUCCAUAAACACUAGACUGAUAAAUAUGCUGUAUUUUUAAGGGUACUGAUCCGCCUUAUAAUAUCUAGUAUCCAAUAUGCUUUUGGAGGACUUUCUCUUUAAGAAGCAGCUUAAUAGGACUUUAAGUAAAAAAGUUAGUCACUUCUCCAAGAAAUUUACACAUGUUACUUCUACCUUAAAUCUACUCCUCACCUUUUUGUAUGUUACAUUUAUGGAUUUUUCUAAUUUAUAUUUUAUUAUGUAUUUAAUAGGUAUGUCUAUGGUGCCCACCACUGUAAUUUCUGUGCAUCUCACAAAAAGAAGAAAGUCACCCCUGCUGCCGGUGAGUGGCAGAGGAGUGCCAUCUCAAAGUUACAGUGUACUGUAGGCAUGAGAGGAGAGCAGAGCCUACAAGUGGGAGUUGAAGGAAGAUCUGGUGAUCGCUCUAAAUUUUGAUGGGAAAGCUUUACUUGCUUGCAAAGAGGUGGCCUGGAAAAAAAUGCAAAGGUGCUUCAACAAGCAGACAAUCUAUGCUUGCAUUUUUGGAAGAGCAAAGGAACAAACAAAAACCCAGUCUGACUUACAUGUACAGAGUUCAGAGUCACACCUGUAUGAUGCAUAGUCAAUGCAAUGUUCAUACAAAGAUGUAAUUGUGCAUUUUUACAAUAUUUGAAACAACUUUAUUUUUGUAACUCUUAGCUCAGAGACUGAGUGAAGAGAACAGAUGCCUAGUUUGUUGCAUCAGAUGGUGCAGUGACAAGUUCUCCUAGCAACUGAUACCUACUGUCUUGUGAUCUCAGAAUCAAGAUGGAAAAUCUCUCGGCCAUUAUCUAUCAGAACCACUAGAUAGGCCCCCUGGAGCCUAUCCCUCAAGUGUGCAUGAACACUAGUGUCAGGAACUCGUCAUCUCAAAAAAUCAGCACUUUCCAAACCUCCCGACGCAGCAAGACAUCUGGCUUUACUGAGUGAUUGGUUAGCUCCAGAAAGUGAAUCAGCACAGUACCAAUCUUCAUGUGCUGGAAUGCAUUAAGGGCAUAGGAAGGAAACAGAAAAGUAGAGCAGCCAGUCAGAGAAGGCAUCAAAGAGGAAAAAGAACAAACGAAGGAAGAUGACAAGAUGUAGACAAAUGAAUAGAAGAGCAAGAUGAAAAUAAAGUUCAGCAGAACCAUUUGAGUAAUAUAAAAAUUCUUUUUGAUUUCUUCAAAUUCUGUUUAAAGUGUGGUUCACGUCUCACACUGAUUACUGGAGCUUUCCAUUGUUGUUUUCUUCUUCUCUACUUAACAUCCUCCUACUCUGCCCCAAAAUUCUGCACUGGUUUCCUGUCUUACUUCAAAUUCAAACUCCUUAUCCUCUCUUACAACACCAGACUCAUUUACUCACUAAUGCCUGUCACUCCUUCUGCUUAUUCCAAUCGUCUCUCUCUUUUCCUAUGAUAGGCUUUAUGCCUUCAAUCAUGUUGCCCCCAUACUAGGAAUACACUUCCCUACCCUCAUCCACAGAGCUUCCUCUCUUAACAAUCCAUCAGCUCCCUUUCUCAUCAAUAAUUCCCACAGGCUCCUUGUCCUGAACUGUGAUUGUAUUUAAACAGUAACAUCUUCAGGACAGGGCAUUGGUCUUAACACUUUGUAAAGAGCCAUGUAGAUUUAUAGCACUAUGUACACUUUUAAUACAGGUGAUAAAAAAACAGAACUACCACCAUAUGCUUCUCCUCUUGCGUUAAAAGGAGACGCCAAGACAGAAGGUCAUCAGAAGUUACACCUUUCUUCACAAAAACUUUCUUCUAAAAAACUAAGGGGGUACAGUACCAAAAAAAGCAAUAGUGUGAAAGUUCUGGAAACAGAAAUCCAGAGAAGUAUUCAAGGUAUGGGCAAUGAAAUGAAAUCUUGUACAGACAUUCUAUAGAUUUCCACUGCAUUAUUCUACAGGAAAUGGCCUCUCUUUGAAUGAUAAAAGGCAUGGUACACUCAGGACUGGCCUU